CAUUUCUGAAACAUUUUUGUGGUACAUUAUGGUUUACCAGCAAGAAUCCCUUCAGAUCAAGGUGCCAACUUUGAAAGUCGUCUGAUAGAAGAACUUUGUACAAUUACCGGAAUGAAAAAGUCAAGAACAACGCCGUACCAUCCCAUGGGUAAUGGUCAGACAGAGCGCUUCAACCGAACACUUUUGAACAUGCUUGGAACUCUUCAACCUGACCAAAAGAAGGAUUGGAAAAUGCAUGUGUCUCCUCUAGUUCAUGCCUACAAUUGUACCAAACAUGAAACUACUGGGUAUUUUCCAUCUUAUUUGAUGUUAAAAAAAUCACGUCCCCGCCAUCACUUAGUUAUCCUUGACAACCGACACGAGAACAUCUAAUAUUUUCGAAGGUAAUGUGUAGUAAGUUCCACUGGUUGCAAGUUUUUCCAAAAAUCUUGCUUUCUCCACCCAAUCUGGUGGUCGACCUGCUUGUGACAUUACAAAUUCACCACUAGUUUGCCAUGCAGGUUUUUGUCUAGCUCUUUCUGAACGUCUGAUCAAAGCAUGUGGAAUGUCUUGAGCACGAGUUUGAAUCCUUGUGUCAUUUUGCCUUGUGAUACGUAUAAUGUGCCUGUGUUAACGUCAACUGUGCAAUGUUAAACACACUGCUGUGCUCUAACACCAGAAACUAUAUGUAUACAUUGACUUUUUAUUCAUUUCAUACAACAAGAAUUUGACUUUUAUAUGUGUGCAGCAGUAAAUCUACAGUCAUUAUAUGGUGUUUGCAAUUUACAGAUUUUGUGAUAUUAUACAUUGUCUGAUUUAUAGCAUAUUUUAAUAUAUAUACUUGCAUCUCAACACUGUGAUAUUUGUAUAUGUUAGGUGUGGUGAAACACAAAAUGAACUUAGUCGUUGCCCAUAUGUGUCAAAUAUUGCCCAUGUUUAUUUUAUAAGUUCAUUUUUUGUGCCUGUGUGAUGUGUGGAUUUUGUAUGUUUAUCUUGUGACAUGAUUGGGUGAUUGGCCGAUGAGUUGAGAUGAAUGAGUAGACUUUGUGUUGUAACUUUUUGUUAGGUAACUUGGUUCCUACUGCUAUAUCUUAAUUAAUUCAAAUACCAAAUCCGAACUUAGGUUAUAUUAACUAAGUAUUUAAAACGGUACUCAGUUAAUUCAACUCUUAAUUAAAUUUAGCAUUAAGUAUGUAGUAACAUAAGCUAUAUAGCUUACUUCAGGUCAAUUACUGCCUUAGUAAACUUGCUGUUGCACGUUUCUUCUCACACAGUUAGGUACCCUCUACUCAACUAAUUCGUCACAUUGCCCUCUAGUCUGUACAGUUUUGUCCACUUUUAUUUUAAAUUUUGGUUAUCUCCUUUAUAGCUUUUAGUUCUUUUUUAUAAACCAUUCACAUUGGUGAGUGUCAUUUUGUGGCUAGGCAGUUGGUCUGUUAGUCAUGGAGGGAGUGUCGGGUAUCAAGGAGGAGGAUCCAGAACAGGGUGAUUCGAAAGGGUCAGAUUCUAUGCCAGAGUUAGAAGGUGAUCCAGAUCUCACUGGUCUUAGUGACACUGGUCAAAUUCUCAUAAUUCCCAAGCUUUUAAUUGGCUAAUUUCAAAUUCCCAUAAUUCCCCAGCUCCAAUCUGAGCACCCUUGUAAUAACACUUUAGCACAGCACAGCACCCAGGCAACAAGGCAACAAGGUCCACUAAACAGCAUCAAACAGGUUAGUUAAAUACUUUAACACUAAACUGUCCUUAAGUGUAUUUGUUCUUUUACAUCUCCAUUAAAUUAAUUGCAGACUAAAUGUUAUUUGGUGAUUUGUAAUAUAUGGUCAUGUUGUAAACCUACUAAACUUGGUUAAUUACCUUAAAACCAAAGUUCAUGUUGCAUUGUAUUAUAACUCAUGUAAAACCAAAUAGCAUUAUAAGUAAUGUUCUGUUUUCACAACCAUUUCCCUCAGCUUUCUAAAUGUAUUUAAGUGCAAUGGUUUUCUGGGUGUUCUGUGAGUGGAGAGCAGAAAAAAUUGUGAAAGCAUUGUCAUGUUGAUAAAUAAAAAAAGUUUCUGUAUGAGCAACCAUGGUGCUCAGCUUUCCCUUUUUUAUAUGCUUACAAUGGGUUUUUUUGUAUUGUGUGAACGGAGAUCGUCAGUGAUGGUGAAAGUAUUGUCACAAUCAUGAACGAUGUUUGUAAUUGGCGGGUCACAUAUGUAUCAGCACAACACGGUCUAAUCAGUAAGGCUCCAUUCCACAAAUGAGGCUUGAUGUAUUAUAUCUGAAUAAACCGCACCUCACCCCUA